CAGCCGCCGCGGUAAGACAGAGGAUGCAAGCGUUAUCCGGAAUGAUUGGGCGUAAAGCGUGCGUAGGCGGCUUCUUAAGUCGGAUGUGAAAUCCCUGAGCUUAACUUAGGAAUUGCAUUCGAUACUGGGAAGCUAGAGUAUGGGAGAGGAUGGUAGAAUUCCAGGUGUAGCGGUGAAAUGCGUAGAGAUCUGGAGGAAUACCGAUGGCGAAGGCAGCCAUCUGGCCUAAUACUGACGCUGAGGUACGAAAGCAUGGGGAGCAAACAGGAUUAGAUACCCCAGUAGUCCCUGUCUCUUAUAC
rnacentral:rRNA from 1 species